CUUUGCUGAAGGUGCGGUUAACGGAGCGCAAGCGACGCCCAACACACAAAACAAGCGGUGAGUGCUUUGGGGUGGGGUGACUGCGUACCUUUUGUAUAAUGGGUCAGCGACUUAUAUUCUGUAGCAAGGUUAACCGAAUAGGGGAGCCGGAGGGAAACCGAGUCUUAAUUGGGCGUUAAGUUGCAGGGUAUAGACCCGAAACCCGGUGAUCUAGCCAUGGGCAGGUUGAAGGUUGGGUAACACUAACUGGAGGACCGAACCGACUAAUGUUGAAAAAUUAGCGGAUGACCUGUGGCUGGGGGUGAAAGGCCAAUCAAACCGGGAGAUAGCUGGUUCUCCCCGAAAGCUAUUUAGGUAGCGCCUCGUGAAUUCAUCUCCGGGGGUAGAGC
rnacentral:rRNA from 1 species